CAUGGUCCUGAGCUGCUACCUCCUGCUGCUCUUUCUCGUGGCCCUGCCAGCCCAGAAUGCCCAGAGUGCUCCAGCAGCUGGGCAGGGAGCAGUUGUGGACACAGAGAGUGCUCUUUCAGCCCCUGAGCGAGGGGCAGAUACCGUGCUGACUCCGAGCUGGUACCUCAAGCGGAUGAAGGAUGACAAGGUUCCUGAAGAGUUCCCUGAAGGAUUGCCGGAUGUUCCAGAGGAGCUCCUGGCAGCCUUGCAUGAAGCCCCAUCUGAGACAGAUUCUGAGACUGUGCCGGAGACCUUAGCUGUGGAAGAAAGUGACAGUGUGCCAGGCUCACAUGAAAAAAGAGAACCAACAGAGGACACCAGGACACUUGCUGAGCCUGA